rfam:Nicotiana attenuata strain TT chromosome 1, whole genome shotgun sequence.
GCUCUAGUAGCUCAGUUGGUUAGAGCACCCGCCUAGUAGGUAGAGGUCUUGAGUUCGACUCUCGACAAGACCA